rnacentral:rRNA from 1 species
UACAGAGGGGGCAAGCGUUGUUCGGAAUUACUGGGCGUAAAGGGCGCGUAGGCGGCCCGCUAAGUCAGACGUGAAAUCCCUCGGCUCAACCGUGGAACUGCGUCUGAUACUGGGGGGCUUGAAUUCGGGAGAGGGAUGCGGAAUUCCAGGUGUAGCGGUGAAAUGCGUAGAUAUCAAGAGGAACACCGGUGGCGAAGGCAGGUCUCUGGGCAGUAGCUGACGCUGAGGCGCGAAAGCGUGGGGAGCGAACAGG